AGAGUUUGAUCAUGGCUCAGAUUGAACGCUGGCGGCAUGCCUUACACAUGCAAGUCGAACGGCAGCACGGGAGCAAUCCUGGUGGCGAGUGGCGAACGGGUGAGUAAUAUAUCGGAACGUGCCCAGUCGUGGGGGAUAACGUAGCGAAAGCUACGCUAAUACCGCAUACGAUCUACGGAUGAAAGCGGGGGACCUGUAAGGGCCUCGCGCGAUUGGAGCGGCCGAUAUCAGAUUAGGUUGUUGGUGAGGUAAAAGCUCACCAAGCCUGCGAUCUGUAGCUGGUCUGAGAGGACGACCAGCCACACUGGAACUGAGACACGGUCCAGACUCCUACGGGAGGCAGCAGUGGGGAAUUUUGGACAAUGGACGCAAGUCUGAUCCAGCAAUGCCGCGUGCAGGACGAAGGCCUUCGGGUUGUAAACUGCUUUUGUACGGAACGAAACGGUCUUCUUUAAUACAGAGGGCUAAUGACGGUACCG
rnacentral:rRNA from 1 species